ACGUGUCUAAUAAGAAAACUGCAGUGUUUCAUUAAACUUUAACAUUUUGGCCUCAUCUAACCCUACGGCUGCAAGCCUGCAACGAAGAACGUGGAAACGGCUGUGUUCAUAAGCAGAGGAGGAGAAGAGGCUUCGAUGGACGACAAAUCAGAUCUACUCCAUAUGCAGAUGGCUCAUCUGCCGCUGCGUCUCUGGCUUCGCCGCUGCGUCUCAGGUGAAUCUCACGAAAACUUAACCGAAGGCGUCAAUCUUAAACCCGUUUCCUUCAUGUCUCAGCUAAAUUAUAUGUUGUGGGUAUUCUUUAUCGGAGAUGAAAUUCGUAUAUCUACUUCAGCUAAUUCUUUCAACGAACUCCCUCCAACGCCCAUGAUCAUCUCAAGGAUGGCUUUACUUUGCUUGGAGAUACAAUACUGCCACUACGUUUUCAUCCGGCUGCGUCACUUACGGACCACACCUGUAGAGUUGUUUCUUUAUAUGUUGGAGCUAGCAGACUCUUUUCUGGUUCCGUGGACAAUUCUAUAAAUUAUUUGUUUUCAAGAACAACCAGCUAGCUUUCGAGUCUGCUGCGACGGAUCUCCAUCAGCUGCAAACAACGUGUUCACCCUAAUCGCCGUUAUCAUAUUUAUGGGUUCUUGAUCACUCCUUACCGCAGAUUCAUCACCGUCAAAGCUAUUUUUAUCAAUUUCACAGUGAGACGACUUCACCAGAAUGGAUUUGUACCGAAACAACAUCUUAACUUCUGUUUUCUUUUUUUUUCUCCCUCUGGUUUAUCUGUUCUUUGCCGGCGUUUGUGUUAUGGUAAAGGGCUUGGCGGAAGUUGCUUAUGUGAAAAGAAGUCUGCAUAUCAAGCUAUGAUGAAUACAACAAUGUACAAUUAGCUGAAGAUCAUGUAGCUCACCGCCAUGCCCGUGCGUUGGAGCGUUCACAGAUUUCAAUCAGACUACAACUGAGCUCUCUAUUGAUGAGAAAGACAAUAUCUAUGAUUUUGAGAAGACUUAUGAGAAUGAUGAGGACCAGAUUGAAGCUUUGAGUUAGGACAGAGGGAAAGAUGGAGGAUACUUUUAUGUCGAUGAGAAUUUGUAGAAAAUUUUAAAGACAGGAAGUCAAGGUGCAGAUCAAACAUUGGUUAGCGUUUUAGAA